UUGGGGACCAGGGCCAGUGAGCAGAGCGGUCUCUAGGGCUUCUCCACCGCUGGCUCUCCCCAGGAAGCAGCCUCAGCUGGCGUUCUGGGGACUGGGGCUGGCCACCAGGGAGGGGUGGACAGUGCAGGAGCCGGCUGCCCGGCUCAGCAGGGAUUUGUGGAGGCUGACUGGCAUGGUUUUGGGUCCGACUUGCCUGGAAGCCUGGCCAGGGGUGGCUCAGGUUUCCCGCCAGCUGGGCUUCCUCCUCCUCCGUGUGAGUGACGCCCCACCACCAUGAUGUCAUCACCUCGUACAAACAGAAGGGAGACUGGCUUGGUGGAGCUGGCAGCCGUCCCACGCUGAGUGCAGCAGUUCUCCGUGACAGGGAGCCUGCAGCCAGCAGCAGCGUAAGGCCCGAGCCAGACUCUCGUCACUUCCAGUCUCAAACCCAGCCUCGUGUCCUUGGAACCAGCUUCGGGAAGCGUGGGACAGAUUUCUUGUUCUCACCUCCCCCCACUGACUAUAACCUCUUAAGGCUACGGCCUCAUGUCAAAUUCAUUCAACAGGUAUUUCUGGGCACCAGCCAUGGGCUGCGCAGGAGCUGGGGAAAUGGAUGGGAGGUGGCCCCCUUUUUCCUGCAGCGAAAACCAUCAAUAUGAAAGAGACAGAGCCCAUUGCAAAGAGUGUGCUGGGUGCCAUGGCCAGUGUGACCCAGGGCAAUGGGUGGGUGCCAGCAAGGUUGGUGUGGUCUGGGGGGCUGUCUGGGAUGUCUCUAGUGGGACCCAGAAGUUGAGUCGGGUGAUCCACGGGGAAGGAGGAGGCAGGCUCUGCUUCAGACCAGGGAGCGAGCGGCUCUGGGAGGCCCAAAGGCCGGAGGACACCCAGGCCUCCAGGGGGUCAGGCUGGCUGAACCAGAGCUGCGUGGGGGCAGGGCCUGGGCUG